rnacentral:pre_miRNA from 4 species
UCUUAUGGAUGAGCCAAGAAAGUGGUUUCUUGAGAUAGAAUCUACCCCUGGUAAAGAUGCUGUGAA